rnacentral:rRNA from 1 species
AGUGAACGCUGGCGGUAGGCCUAACACAUGCAAGUCGAACGGCAGCACAGUAAGAGCUUGCUCUUACGGGUGGCGAGUGGCGGACGGGUGAGGAAUACAUCGGAAUCUACUUUUUCGUGGGGAUAACGUAGGGAAACUUACGCUAAUACCGCAUACGACCUACGGGUGAAAGCCGGGGAUCUUCGGACCUUGCGCGAUUGAAUUAGCCGAUGUCGGAUUAGCUAGUUGGCGGGGUAAAGGCCCACCAAGGCGACGAUCCGUAGCUGGUCUGAGAGGAUGAUCAGCCACACUGGAACUGAGACACGGUCCAGACUCCUACGGGAGGCAGCAGUGGGGAAUAUUGGACAAUGGGCGCAAGCCUGAUCCAGCCAUACCGCGUGGGUGAAGAAGGCCUUCGGGUUGUAAAGCCCUUUUGUUGGGAAAGAAAAGCAGCAGGUUAAUACCCCGCUGUUCUGACGGUACCCAAAGAAUAAGCACCGGCUAACUUCGUG